AACAACUAGGCAACAAGAUUAUGUAAUCAAAGUGGUCAUCUAACUACACAAAACUUGAGAGAAAAGCAGUAAAGAUAGAAACUUUAACAUAGUAGGUAAUGAUUUAUCAAACACAAGCUAAACCAACUUCAAUAAUACAUGAACAAAGAAACUAACACAUAUUAUUAGGGAUUAUCUAAUCUAAAUGACCAUUAAAGGGUGUUAGCCCAUAAUUACAGAAGAAAAACACACAAUCAAGUAGAAAGCUAGGUUAAACAUGAUUAAAUCUAGGCAAACCGAAUGGAUUAUGUAGUAUUCUUGCUCUAAUCUCUUAAACUCUUUAUCUUUAAUCUUCUUUUUCCAUCCAAGGGUUCUUAGAAGGGUUGUACUCAGUUUUCAAUCGCGACUCUAAAGCCAAAAGUCUCCUGAUUUCGACCUAGAAGUCGUUAUUUAUAUGUGCCCUCGUUCAGCUUUCACGUAGUGACAAUAUAAGUUCCACGUCGUGAGAAACAUAAUAAUCUUGUAUGCGCCAAGGCUUCCAUGCAUGCUGGAGAUGCUCUAUAAUUAACACGUCGUCACGUCGUGACCAAUAGAUUUUCACAUCGUGAGAAGCUAUUCCAUUCACGCAUCGAGAAGAUUCCAAAUGCCACGUCAUGGGAUGCAGUUAUCUACGACGUGGGAGCUUCAGUAUACUCAAUUUUUCUUCUCUUUUUCCUCUUAAUAUAUUCUCCAACCUCAAAGUUUCCAGCUUUCUUCAGUUUCAGCCCUUUUUUCUUGAGAAUUUCCUUUUUGACUACAAAAUAUAAUUUAAACUAUAUAAAUAUCAAAUAUCUUUGUAUUUAACUAAAAUAUAACUCAAAUGAAUUAAAAUAAUACAUAAUUAUAUGUAUAAAUAUGACAAUAUCAAAAGGUAAAGUACAAUCCCAAAUAGAGAAAAACAACGGAGACAUGGAAUAUGUCCCAAAGGACAUAACCAUGUGUGGUGUCGAGCAUCAAUUAUAAAAAUAUUUUCAUUUAUAUAAGUUAUAUUGUUUUGUUAUACUUUGAUAUUUCCUCCCUAGAAAUAACCAACUCUUUUUCAAGGUUCGCAUAACAACUUUUAAUUUAACAAAUUUCUCAUGAGUAAUUUGUAAAUCGACAUGUAUAUAAUCAAACAUCAUUGGUUUUUUCAUUACAAUAAUAGUUGACAAAGUUACAAAAUCUGUAACUCUUAGAUGACCGAAGUACUUUCUAUCUAACAUUUACAAUAAUAUGAUAUUGUCUACCAUGAUAUUGAUAUAGAUUUUGUUAACUUAUAGAUGACCACUUUUAACAAUAGGAUAAGUUAUUACCGAUUACUUUCAUCAUCAAAUUUGUUACAUAUUUCAACAAGCACUACCUGUAAAUCAUUUACAUUUGAUAUACAUUUGAUCUCGAAAUCAACUCUAAACACAAGGAGCUACAAAUUGAUGAUAAACACGACUUUAUCGAAAUAUAUGAGGUGUGUUAUGAUUAGCAUGUAUUGUUCUUAGGGAUGGUGCAUAAGGAAAAAGGUAAACCACGUGGUGUGAGAUGUAUUUACAAGGGUCGCCUGAGUUCUCAACGGGGAGGUUCCCUCUAGGUUUAGUGGCAAAAGAGGUGUUUCAUGAAGAAGAUGAAAAGGUUGGGGAGGGUGAUGAUGAUCAGUUUCAAGAGAGGAAGUCUCGGGUCCUCCUAAUUUAAUAAUAAUAAAAACAUUUUACAUAACACAAAAACUAAAAUCACAACAAAAUCAUAUCUAAAUAAUGUAUUUUUUCAAAAACAAAUAAAAAUACAUACUAACCAGAGAUUUGUUUUUAGUGUACUCCCUUAAAUUGCAAGUUCGGAUUUUAAAUACCAUAUUUAUGUUUAAGUUUGCAAGUAUAAAUAGAACCAGAUUGGUCGGUUGUCAAUAAUCUUGUUAAGGAUAAGAGGUGUGACAUGUAGUGGCAACCACAGUGAGCGUACAUGGAUGCAAUGAAUCAUGUUAAAAACAAC
rnacentral:lncRNA from 1 species